AACGAACGCUGGCGGCAUGCCUAACACAUGCAAGUCGAACGAGACCUUCGGGUCUAGUGGCGCACGGGUGCGUAACGCGUGGGAACCUGCCCUUAGGUUCGGCAUAACUCCCCGAAAGGGGUGCUAAUACCGGCUAAUGUCUUCGGACCAAAGAUUUAUCGCCUUUGGAUGGGCCCGCGUUGGAUUAGCUAGUUGGUAGGGUAAAAGCCUACCAAGGCGACGAUCCAUAGCUGGUCUGAGAGGAUGAUCAGCCACACUGGGACUGAGACACGGCCCAGACUCCUACGGGAGGCAGCAGUGGGGAAUAUUGGACAAUGGGCGAAAGCAUGAUCCAGCAAUGCCGCGUGAGUGAUGAAGGCCUUAGGGUUGUAAAGCUCGUUUACCCGGGAUGAUAAUGACAGUACCGGGAGAAUAAGCGCCGGCUAACUCCGUG
rnacentral:rRNA from 1 species